UCGUUCAAACUUUAGAGGCUACGUUAAAACCGCAGCGUUUAUGUAGCGAGUGACACCGGAAUAAAGAUUUCUGACUCCUGACAUGUGGAUUAAUUGUAGGUCAGUGAAGCUGCACUGGCAGUUAACCUCCUCAUCGGAAAGAAGAGUUCCAGGGCCGACACAGUGGCUCCGAUGGUCUUGCCGAGCAUUCCGGAAUUUGCCACUGUGGACCUUCUCACCUCAUACCCAGAUUAUUUGCUUGACAACUACCAAGUCACCUUCCAGACUUGCUCUGCAUUUUUGUACCAAAAUGAUGAUUUGUGUGACGGCACAGUUGCUACAGAAAACACUCAGACCAAAGUGGAUAUUACGUGGGUCCUCCUGCUGCGAUACUAUAUACACCUGCAAAGAAUUAAUAACAUGAGCAAGCUGCUAGCCUCUGCAACACCAGGAUCUGGAAUCUCUUUGCCGGAUGAUACUCUUCUCACAUCCCUUCAUAACAAUGAACUGAUUUUGCGCCAAAAAGAAAUGCAUUUUUUUCUUAAAAAAUUCUUACAUCUGUAUUCUUCUUCUUGUAUCGAUGAAUUUCCAAAGGAACUUCUUCAAGGAAUGGAAAAUCUGGCUGAUUCAGAAAAAGCCUCAGAUGAAUCAUCGGCCAAGCUAUAUCGUGACAAUUCUCUACAGUCUGUUUUAUCUUUGAGGCCUUUUGCCAACCAAUAUUUUGUGGACAAGAUGUCAGCAGAAAUGGCAACACAAGCUUUAGGCAAAGAACUUUGCUUUCAGUGGUACAUCCCUCCCCUGGAUCGACCUCCAGAAGAAACAGAACCCAUGGUUCUGUUGUUGUAUGCAUAUAAUAUAAAGCCCAUGACGAUUAUAGAUAUUAAAAAUUCCACUUCUAACAACAUAUGUGUUGGCUCUUUGUGGCUUCCUCUGAAAAGAGUUAUUUCAAUUCACGAGAAGCUAUCUAAUCUUGCACAAAUAGCUGAAAUAUCAUUGCCAUCAAUUCCUGAAAUUACUUCAGAUGAAGACGUAUAUGAAACAAAAGAAAUGGAGGAAAAGCCGAUUGAUACAGAUAUAGAAAACAUGAUAAUUGGAUGUUGCUCUGAAAUAAGAGCUCUCCUUGUGCAUGACAGAGAGCUAACACCACUGACCGAGGUUCCAUUUGAUGUCUCACUGCCUUCCAUAUUCAAUCUUGAGAGACUUUUUGACGUCGCUAAUGGCUGUCUUGUAUCAGGAGGAAGCCUUUUCAACUGGAUGGUGUCCAUUAUUCCCUGAACCUCCUUGAUAUGGGCAAGAGAAAGAAAAAUUCGUUCCUUAGGGAGACAAUGGAAAGGGAGAAAGGGGAAAGGAAGAGUCCAGAGAGGAACAGGGUAAGAAGCAAGAGAGGCCAAAAGCCCCCUCCUCUGCUCUACACACGUUUGCUGGGUGAAACAGACGUCAGUGAGGAAAUCGAGGAAAGGCGCAUCUAGGAUGAGCCCGACAGAGGAAGAUGUUGCAGAAACUGAACAGAUCUGGAGCCAUUGGAGCUGAAUCAAAGGUAAUAUAAUGACUCACACCCACAUUGCAUUCCCAAGCUGUCAGAAUUACCCAGGUCGUGGACAGAAACCGAACUGGUGUAGAGGGCAGGAACGCUGUUGUUCUGAACAGAGCUGAGCCUCCUGUGAGCCUCUUUAACGAUGGUGGUACUUACCUAACACUGCGUGCUGAAAUAUGGUUUCCGCUUUUAGCUUGGCUGUUACUUUGGGACAGGAAGCUUUAAAUUUGAGUUGGGUUUAUGCUCUGCAGACUUUAAACCAUUUAAAGGUGCUGCUCUUAGCCACACGGCAGAGAUACUUGUGAAUUUUGGGGGAACAAAUGCUUUGUAUUACCUUACAAAAUCACAGCUUCAAAAGAUUCUAUUCUGUGAAUUCUUGCGGGAGAGAGAACUAG
rnacentral:lncRNA from 1 species